CACGUAGGGACCAAGCGUUGUCCGGAUUCAUUGGGCGUAAAGAGCUCGUAGGCGGUUCGAUAAGUCGGGUGUGAAACCUCCAGGCUCAACCUGGAGACGCCACCCGAUACUGUCGUGACUAGAGUCCAGUAGGGGAGCGUGGAAUUCCUGGUGUAGCGGUGAAAUGCGCAGAUAUCAGGAGGAACACCAGCGGCGAAGGCGGCGCUCUGGGCUGGAACUGACGCUGAGGCACGAAAGUGUGGGGAUCAAACAGG
rnacentral:rRNA from 1 species